UACGUAGGGUGCAAGCGUUGUCCGGAAUUAUUGGGCGUAAAGAGCUCGUAGGCGGUUUGUCGCGUCUGCUGUGAAAACUCGGGGCUUAACUCCGGGCCUGCAGUGGGUACGGGCAGACUAGAGUGCGGUAGGGGAGAUUGGAAUUCCUGGUGUAGCGGUGGAAUGCGCAGAUAUCAGGAGGAACACCAAUGGCGAAGGCAGAUCUCUGGGCCGUAACUGACGCUGAGGAGCGAAAGCAUGGGGAGCGAACAGG
rnacentral:rRNA from 1 species